ensembl:lncRNA
GUUCUGUUUGUUUGUUUGUUUGCUCUUUUGUGUUCUCUUUGUUUUGUUUUUCUUCGCCCUAUGUAAAGCGUCUUUGAGCACCUAGAAAAGCGCUAUAUAAAGUUAAAGUAUUAUUAUUAUUAUUAUUAUAACUAUUUUGAAUCAAUUCAUGAAAUUGUAUAAAAGGAAUCUCUCUUGAAGUGCUGUGAAAUAUAGGCCUAUGCUUUAAGAAAGAUGUGACAUUAGUGUUGAAAUCAAGGGAAUAAUGCCAUGUGUGUGAAGCCUAUCUGACACCCAGCAAAGAAACCGUAGCAGAGACAUCUGGGUGUUCUCUGGGUUUUUUGUAAAAAAGGAGAAACAACAUGAUAUAAAAUAAUAUAUUGUGUAAGGUGAAGCAACAAUGUCUAUAUAAUAAAUAUAGGCUUACACAGCAAAUAUAAACAAAGUAAAAGUAAUAAAAUACAGUCAAUGGAACUGGGUAAACAUUGCUUAAAUCUACACCACUGUGUACAGUGAAAGUACCACACAUGCUGUCCUUAGUGUGAUAUAAUACUAAUCGUUGUACUGAGUAGGCUAUGUGAACACACUAUGAUUAGUGCAGUGAGCAUGCGUGUUAAUCUCACACUAAGUGAGGACAGUGCAGUGAGCAUGCGUGUUAAUCUCACACUAAGUGAGGACAGUGCAGUGAGCAUGCGUGUUUGGCACUAUGAACUUGUGCUCACUACCCUGUGGCAUUAUGUAAAAAAAAAAAAAAUGUGUCAACCAGAUGAUUUCGAAAAGGCAACAUCUUAAAACAAACUGGUUGGACAGCUAGUGAUUGAGCUGUCAUUCCUCAAAGUAGACUAUAGCACCACUUGUGGCACUCAGCUUAAACAAAGACACAGCUCCAUUUGGUUUAGAACAGCAUUUAAUGCACAUCUUUUGUGGCAUCCGGUUCACAUCACAUUCACACAACGAUAUCCCAACCAUACGUUAGAACCAACGGUUCUGGUCGGCCACUAAACUGGACUCUCAUCGAUCACAGAGUUGUUUCAAAACCAAGCUCACCGUAGAGGAAUAUCUCACAGGCCCGUUCCCCUUUCCUCCUCACCAUGUGGAGCAGGCAGGUCACCUGGUCCUCGGUCACUCUGUGUUCUUGCAGAACCUGACUCCUCUCCAUUCCACUGAUCACCGGGGGCUUUCCUUUCUGAAGACCAUCUAUCAGAGCUUUCAGAGAGGCCUCUUCUCUCCUGUUUAUGAGUUCACACUGAACCUCAAACACUCCAUCUGGGAGGAGAUUUUAAACAAGCCUUGCUGGUCACCAGUUCUUUCAGGUCUUAUUCAUCACAGAUCUGAUUUUUCUCUCAUAGUGUUGGUUCCCCUCUCACUGCUCACCUGUGCCUCUAGGUGAAAGCGCUAAAGAUGUCUGACUGCUCACCUGUGACUUUAGCUGAAGGUGCUACAGAUGUCUGACUGUCACCUGUCUGACUGCUCACCUGUCUGACUGCUCACCUGUGCCUCUAGGUGAAAGCGCUAAAAGUGUCUGACUGCUCACCUGUGCCUCUAGAUGAAGGUGCUACAGAUGUCUGACUGCUCACCUGUCUGACUGUCACCUGUCUGACUGCUCACCUACUGUAUAUGACUGCUCAUCCGUGCCUUUAGCUGAAGGCGCUACAGAUGUCUGACUCGCUGUGUAGAGGGAUUUUGCCCAAGUGCUUAAAGCAGUGGAUCUUUACAAACAAGCUUCUGGCAUGUUCUCUUAAAUCUCUUAAAUUGAGCAGUCUUGUAUUUUGUGACGAUGAAUGCUGAAGGUAACCUGUCUGCUUCUCCAGUGUCGUUGAUUACCUACACACCUCUCAGUGAGCCACCCAUCUGGUCCAGUAAAGAACGCGCCUCUCUGUCUGUGCUGUCCACCACGUCCUGCACAACUGUAACCUCAGCCCUGGUUUCCUCAAUGGAUGAUGACACUGUGGAGACAAUAUGAUCAACUGAACCGGCACAUACUUGCAUGCGUAUGUGUGAUAUGUGAAAAGAGAUUAGCAAGAAAACAUUCCUAGAGACACCUAACUCCACACAGUAAAAAUGUGAUUAUGCCCAGAAAUCAAUAUUAUCACCUAGUAUCACUGUUUCUUUGGAGAAAGUGUGAAAAAGCCUCAACAUGCUGAAGUGAGUGACAGCUGAAACUCAACAUGCUGAAGUGAGUGACAGCUGAAGCUCAACAUGCUGAUGUGAGUGACAGCUGAAACUCAACACACUUUGAUGAUGAAAUAGUGUCUCUGCCCACAGUGAUUGCUGUCAUGAGCUAAUUACAACUUAAGCACAAUGAUUAGUAAUGAUUAUCAGAAGAUCAAAAUGAACACAUAUGAUGUUAGCGUUCUUGGCUGUUCUGUCAGUCUUUGAUUCUUUGGAUCUUUUUUUGGCACCAAAUUCAAACUUAAACAUUCUUUGGUAGAAGGAAAAAUAUAAGUGUUUAGUCUUUCUGAAAGCCGUUUUGAGCUUCAACUCAUGGACAGAUACCCUAACACACUGCUGCAGAAUGUCCUGGCCCAACAUUCAUAAGACAGAUACCCUGACACACUGCUGCAGAUUGUCCUGGCCCAACAUUCACAGGUCAGUCAACGAUGCCACGCUGUCCUGGGGCGGCCCUGAAGCUCUGGUCACAUUUGAGGUCAUAAUCAAGCAGAUGUGACCCAGGGUCAGGGGUCAAGGGUCAUGUGGAUAAGUAGAUCUGCCAGGUCAGCGCACUAUUGUGUGACUCAUAAACAGAAGCAGGUUUGCUACAGGUCCACACUAUGAUUAAUAAGGGUUUGCUACAGGUCCACACUAUGAUUAAUAAGGGUUUGCUACAGGUCCACACUAUGAUUAAUAAGGGUUUACUACAGGUCCACACUAUGAUUAAUAAGGGUUUACUACAGGUCCACACUGAUUAAUAAGGGUUUACUACAGGUCCACACUAUGAUUAAUAAGGGAUUGGAGCACAAACAGACUCACCUCGUGUCUUCGAGGUCAGAUUGAAGCCUGAAUGUGCUGCUUUCAAAGACCUCUUCUGUUGUUUCUGGCUGUCGGUGUGGCUCUCGUUUUGUUCUCCACACUCAACCACUCCCAGCGGUUGGACUUAGAGAUAGCCACGCCUCCUCCAGUGGCAAAGCAGAUAAGAGCAUAAACAAGUCAGGCCUCUACAAACACUGCUCUGGCACCCUACAAAUCUAAUGAUGUGAAAUCUAAAGAAAAAACAUGGAUUACUAAACUACAGUACAUUGGAAAUACAGAAAGUAGUCUUGUAGUGUUGUAGUAAUAAAGCUUCGAUAUUAGUGUUGCCAAAAGUUUCUAGAUGUGUUGAUACAUGGGCUGUGUCCUUAUGUGUGGCUGACGUGUGCCAUACUUUAUUCCCACCAUGAGCAUGUCAGGAAACACUCAAGACUUCAG